UUAAAACCAUAUCCUUGUUCUAUGUAUGAUGUGCAUAGAAGUUAGGAACUAUAUCUGACCUUUCUGCGGACAUUCUCAACAAUCUGAUACAGCAGUUUGACAUCUGGAACGUAUAUUUGUGAUAACAUAUGAUUUCGGAAAAUCGCAACGUGCAUGGAAAACGCAUAAUCGCGUAGGAGUGGCGAAAUAAAUCCCACGAGCUGACAUACUAACAGCCAGAUAAAAAUCUAGCCUUGCAUCGCAGAAGUAGGAAGUGUAGUGACGCAAUGUUACCCGCCCUUGUUCUACAUUGUCUUUAUGUCACCGGUGGCUGUUCGCCUCGCAAAAACAAUGCCCGAGAUAUUCGGUACAGAGAAUGAUUUCAUUUUUCAGCGUUGUUCUCGCAUGCUCUCGUUCUUUAACUAUCAUGCAAUGACAUGAACGAAUAUCACCGGUGAUUAUC